GCAGACACAUUCCAGCCAAUCAGCAGCAGUCCCUCCCUCCCAGACCCUCCCACCUCUUGGACAGCAUCCAUUUUGAAGCUGCAUUCUUAGUGAGCUGUCCAGGAGGUGGGAGGGUCUGGGAGGGAGAGUCUGCUGCUGAUUGGCUGAAAUGUGUCUG
rnacentral:miRNA from 1 species